rnacentral:tRNA from 1 species
GCCCGGUUGGUCUAGUCGAAAGAUGGUCGCUCUACGAGCGAUAGUUCCGGGGUUCAAUUCCUCGACCGGGUA